AUGACUGAGCAAAUAGAGCAACAAAUCUGUAUCAAAUUCUGCGUUAAGCCUGAACAUUCCUUGGCAGAAACUAUUCGUAUGAUUCAAAAGGCUUUCGAAGACGAUGCAAUGAGUGCAGUGAAAAUAAAAGUGUGGCACAAAUGCUUCAAAGCUGCUCGAGAAUCUACUGAAAGUUAUCCAUGUUCUGGAAAGCCUGCAGCAAAUAGAACACUUGAGAAUGGUGAACACCAGAAGACCAAGUUGUCCAAGAACCUGAUGCGCAUGAAGUUCAUGCAAAGGGGACUGGACUCAGAAACGAAGAAACAACUAGAAGGGGAAGAAAAGAAAAUCAUUGGUGAAGAACACUGGUACUUGGAUUUGCCAGCACUGACAAAGAGAGUUUCAUAAUACAAGAGCAGAGUUUCUUGUUAUGUGAAGAUCUUCUCUAUGGAAGAAUGUCAUUCAGAGGAUUUAAUCCUGAGGUUGAGAAAUUAAUGCUUCAGAUGAAUGCUAAGAACAAAGCAGAAGUUUUUGAAGAUAAAACAGAGGAGGUCGAUGUGUCAGAUGAAGAAAUGGCUAGAAGAUACGAGACCUUGGUGGGGACAAUUGGGAAAAAGUUUGCCAAGAAGAGAGACCGGGUCAGUUAUGAAGAACAUGAAAAUGGAGAUGUAAAACUGCCUAAAGAAAAGGAGAUGUUCUUAAAGCCCCGAGAUUAA